rnacentral:rRNA from 1 species
GUGCCAGCAGCCGCGGUAAUACGGGGGGGACGAGCGUUGUUCGGAUUUACUGGGCGUAAAGGGCGCGUAGGCGGACCUUCAAGUCGGGUGUGAAAACCCCGGGCUUAACCCGGGGCCUGCAUUUGAUACUGUUGGUCUUGAGUACAGGAGAGGAGAGUGGAAUUCCAGGUGUAGCGGUGAAAUGCGUAGAUAUCUGGAAGAACACCAGUAGCGAAGGCGGCUCUCUGGACUGAUACUGACGCUCAAGCGCGAAGGCUUGGGGAGCAAACAGGAUUAGAAACCCUGGUAGUCC